rnacentral:sRNA from 1 species
UGACGAGAAAGGUUGGUGCUUGGCCUGUGCGCGUCGUGUGCCUGUGUGAAAAGCUGCAGCAACUCUUGGAAUCGUUCAUUGCCUCGUACACGCUUCACGCGCACGGUUCACAUUCCUACGCAGCCAACUGGCGGAGCUGUCCAUGCAGCCCAGCUGCAGGAAGUGGUUAACAAUUUAUGGCAAUUAAAUAAUGCAGACUUAAUGAUACGAAGUCAAAUUAAGCAAAAGGAAAUAUUCAAUUCAAUUUAAUGCCUGUGGCAGACAUUGCGUAUGCUUAACAGAAAUUAAUUUGUGCGUUCAACUCGAAAGAAAAAGCUUUCACACUCGUUCGGAAUACGCCUAAAGCACAUGCGCCCCAAACACAAAGCGAGCGGGAGAGUGACAGUGAGAGUGAGAGUGAGACAGACAAAGCAAGCCUUUAGAUCAAAACUAAUACAAGCAAACGCACAAUGAAACUAAUAACGGUAUUCUAAAACAACAACUUAAAAAUAUAAUAUUUAUAUAUAGUA